rnacentral:misc_RNA from 1 species
GAUGAAGAACGUAGCGAAAUGCGAUACGUAAUGUGAAUUGCAGAAUUCAGUGAAUCAUCGAAUCUUUGAACGCAUAUUGCGCUCUCUGGUAUUCCGGAGAGCAUGCUUGUUUGAGUAUCAGUAAACACCUCAACUUCCAUAUCUUUUUUGAAAUGGGAGUUGGACUUGAGUGAUCCCAACGCUUUUCCUCACCGAAAAGUGGCGGGUUACUUGAAAUGCAGGUGCAGCUGGACUUUUCUCUGAGCUAUAAGCAUAUCUAUUUAGUCUGCCUAAAAAACAGAUUAUUACCUUUGCUGCAGCUAACAUAAAGGAGAUUAGUUCUUGUGCUGACUGAUGCAGGAUUCACAAAGACAGCUUCGGCCGACUUUGUAAACUCGAUCUCAAAUCAAGUAAGACUACCCGCUGAACUUAAGCAUAUCAAUAAGCGGGGA